AUUAUAUUUGUUCAUAUGUACUCUGUGUCAGUUGUGAUAAUGACAACUGAAGUUGGUUCAGAGACCGAAGUAAAGAAAGAUUCUGAGCAGCUGGGACCAGACAAAGCCAAGGACAAGCCUGAAGAAGCAUCAGAGACUCCAGGAGAUCAGAAGUCCAGGGAAACAUCCUCUGGAGAAGCUCAAGAUUCUUCUGUCCCAGCACCAACUAGCCAAAGUAGUCCAAGUAGACAGAAGAAGGAAAAAUCUUCACCUGAAAGCAAGGGUAUUUCUCGUUUCAUUCCCCCAUGGCUUAAGAAACAAAAGUCAUACACCUUGGCAGAGGCCAAAGAUGAGCCCAAGAAAAGGGCCACAGGGGAAGAGCAAGUAGUUGAAGAAAGUGAAAGCCAGACACCAGAGGGGGUGGCUCAGUCAAGAAAGAGCUUGGAAGGAGCAGCUGAAAACCGGCAGAAUGCUAAAGCAGAUGACAAGGAAAAACACUCUGUUAGUAGUGCUGAAAUACAGCCUCCCAAAGAAGAUGGUAAAGAAACAGAAGUAGAGGAAGAUGCAGAGAAAAAGGAAGAAAAACAAGAAGAAAAAGAAAAAAGGGAGACAAAAGAAGUGCAGACAGCUGAAAUUAAAACAGAUAACAUUCCUCAGAAGUCUCCAAAGAAAAUCAAAACUGUGCAGUGUAAGGUGAUGCUUCUGGAUGGCACAGAAUACAGCUGUGACCUAGAGAAAAGAGCAAAAGGACAAGUGCUGUUUGAUAAAGUAUGUGAACAUCUCAAUUUACUGGAAAAGGACUAUUUUGGGCUGUUAUUUUAUGAGAAUUCAGAACAGAAGAAUUGGCUAGAUUCUUCGAAGGAAAUUAAGAGACAAAUUCGAAGUUUACCCUGGAUAUUCACCUUUAAUGUGAAGUUUUAUCCCCCUGAUCCAUCACAGUUGACUGAAGACAUCACUAGGUAUUUCUUGUGCCUACAGCUUCGUCAGGAUAUUGCAUCUGGCCGACUGCCGUGUUCUUUUGUGACUCACGCCCUCCUUGGUUCCUAUACUCUGCAGGCUGAGCUGGGUGAUCAUGACCCAGAGGAGCACCACAGUGAUUAUAUCAGUGAAUUCCAAUUUGCACCCAAUCAGACUCAAGAAAUGGAAGAGAAAGUGGCUGAGCUACACAAAACACACAGGGGCUUGACUCCAGCACAGGCGGAUUCCCAGUUCCUAGAAAAUGCUAAGAGACUCUCCAUGUAUGGAGUGGAUUUACAUCAUGCCAAGGAUUCUGAAGGUGUGGAUAUCAUGCUGGGUGUAUGUGCUAACGGUCUGCUGAUUUACAAAGACAGACUCCGGAUCAACCGCUUCGCUUGGCCAAAAAUUCUGAAGAUUUCCUACAAGCGAAGUAAUUUCUACAUCAAAGUCAGGCCAGCAGAACUGGAACAGUUUGAGAGCACUAUUGGGUUCAAACUGCCAAACCAUCGGGCUGCUAAAAGGUUAUGGAAGGUUUGUGUGGAGCACCAUACUUUCUUCAGACUUGUAUCACCAGAACAGCCCCCAAAAGCGAAGUUUCUGACCUUGGGUUCCAAGUUCCGCUACAGCGGCCGUACGCAAGCGCAGACACGACAGGCCAGCAACCUCAUAGACAGACCAGCUCCAUACUUCGAGCGCACUUCCAGCAAACGUGUUUCCAGAAGCCUUGAUGGAGCUCCCAUGGGUAUUUCAGACCAAAGUCUUCUAAGAGACUUCUCUGCUACUGCAGGGCAGGCUGCCAGAGAUAAAAUCAUUGAUCUUGAAGCUGCUGGUCAGGCCAAGUUAAAAGAAGGUGGCAGAGAAGAAGAUGAAAGCCCACUCAAAACUCCACAAUUAGAAUUGACUCAGGAUGGAAAGCCUAAGGUGACUUCCUUUAGUAGCUCUAAUGGCAAUGACCUGAAUGACAAAGCAGAGGAAGAGGAGGUGUGUAAUUUUGCUGCUUAAAUGUUGACACUUGCACAUUGCAUUUAUGCUUUUUCUCACGAGGCUUGCUCAGUUUUGCACACUUCCUAGUUAGAGAUGUAUCUGUGUACAUGCCUGUAAAUAUAUAUAUAUAAAUACACAAAUGCAUAUGUAUCUUUUUAGCAUUUCUCAUUUGUGAAAAAUUGCCAUUGUGGGACUCUUAGUCAAUAGAUAGCUCAUGGUUUUUCUGCCUAAUUUCCUACAGCAUGCAUAAUUUCAUUGUAUUCCACAGAUACUGAGCUGCAGGUGGACUUGCAUUGUAGUUUAAAAUGUUAACGAGCACAUAAAUCUGAAUACUGAAAGUGCUCUGUGUAACAAUAGAUGUUAUUUGAUACUAUUUGCAAGUUCUAUUUGCACUGUCAAUUGGUCUUAAAAUGCCUGUCUCCUGCAUGCAUUGACUGGAAUGCACAUGUGUGAAGUUCUGUUUAGAACUGAAAAAUGAAAUUCCUAAAAGCUGAAUUCAGAAAACUGCGAAUACUUUAAAAUCAGCGUUUUGUUAUUCCAGAUUUCAGAUGUUUCAGCUCUCCAAGGGUGUGUGCAAAGUUGAGUCUGUCCAAGGCACUUUUUCUUUUUUCACAUGCUUUGAUUAAUCUCUAGCAGCAGUUGAGACUGAUUUCAUUCAUUAGCUGGGAUUGCAGGCUGUGUCAGGCUGUAUCACUGGUCUGAACGUUCUUUGGAAUACACUGCUAAAAUUGCUGUUCAGAAGCCUCAGUCACACUAGUAUGUUGCUCUGAUCAUCUGGAGUGGCUGACAAAAUGCCUCCUUUCCUUAUGUCUGCUGCAUGUACUACAGCAAUACCACUAGAAAAAGGUCUUCUAUUUUGAUCCUCAAAGAAAAUAUUAAACCAAUUAUUAUAGAAUCAAAAAGGAGGAGGAUCUGUUUAAUGUUACAUUUAACAAAGUUUGCUAAACCAAUGUACAUAUUAAAGACAUGCUAAAUAUGACACGAUGUCAUUAUAAUGCCAGUCUAAGUAUAAAAUAACAAAAAACAUGACACUAAGAUUUUCUCAAUUUUUCUGUAGCCUAAUUCAAUCCAUAAUUUGUAACAUACUUACAUAAAAUAGAACCCCAGAUAAGUCAGGAAUUAAUGAAAAUGAGAUAUGUACUACAUCAUAUGUGCAUUCACACAGAAUUCAAAAUGUAACAGUAUGAAUAGUAAAUCCCUCUUCAAAUUUAUGAACUUGCAGUGUGUUGACUUGUAAAUGCAUCUUUUCCUAAGAUUACCAGUUGAUAUUUGUACUUGUGGAAAGACAACUGGGAAGUGGUUCACUUUUUAAAGAAUGCUGUUCCUAAAGGCAUUCAGAAUACUUGGAGAUAAGAUAUGAAGAUUAGUUACUAUUUCCAACAGAAUGCAUUGCAGUUUAAGAAUAAAUAUAUUCACCUAAAAAGAGGGGGGGGGUGGGGGGGCGGGGGGUGUGUGCAAAUAGUUCAUCCCAAGACAACAACAUUCCUAAAAUUUAAGACAGUUGGUAAAUACAGUGUUUAAGUGUUUGACUUGAACCCUAGACUCUUUUCCCAAAAGAACUCCUGGAUUAGAUUCCAUUUUCUCAUCAACUCGUUGCAGGAUUUAAGUCACUUACCAUAGAAAUUAUGCAUAUCAUUUUUCUUCGUUACUCAUUCUUAAAUUUUCACCUGGGAAACAAUAAAAAGCAGAGCAAGAAAGAGACACAGUGUGAAACUUCCAUUUUUCAUGCCACUUAUGCCAAAAAUUACUUCAGCCAUUCUACAACAAUGUAGGUGCAAGAAGACCCAAGUCGCUUAAUUUCGACAUCUGGGGCCGAAAAAGUAAAGGUGGAAUGCGAAGAGGAGGAAGCACAGCAGAAGGACCUGGAUAAGACCCAGGACGACUUACUGAAACACCAGGCUAGCAUUAGUGAGCUCAAGCGCAAUUUCAUGGAAUCCACACCCGAACCACGCCCAAAUGAGUGGGAAAAGCGGCGUAUCACACCUCUGUCCCUACAGACACAAGGG